rnacentral:rRNA from 1 species
UACGUAGGGAGCAAGCGUUGUCCGGAUUUAUUGGGCGUAAAGAGCGCGUAGGCGGCCAGGCAGGUCCGCUGUGAAAGCCCGAGGCUCAACCUCGGGAUGUCGGUGGAAACCGUCUGGCUAGAGUCCGGAAGAGGAGAAUGGAAUUCCUGGUGUAGCGGUGAAAUGCGCAGAUAUCAGGAAGAACACCCGUGGCGAAGGCGGUUCUCUGGGACGGUACUGACGCUGAGGCGCGAAAGCGUGGGGAG